GCAUUGGUGGUUCAGUGGUAGAAUUCUUGCCUCUCACGCGGGAGUCCUGGGUUCAGUUCACAGCCAGUGCG